GGGCAGGGUGAGCACAGAGCAGCCGGGAGAGCCCAGGCGGUUCAGGGCGUUGUAUCGCCGUCCUCCUGCCUUCUCGCUUCCAGCUGGCUUGAUCAAUUUGCUUCUGCUCUACAUCUCCUAGAAAAAAGAAUGUAUUUGUUCCUGCAGGCUGAUUGCCAGGAAAGACAAGGGAAAAGAAUGAUCUGAUUCUGCAUUGCUUUGUACACAGCAAUCAUGCCUCAAAGAUGUUGUUGUCCUCUCUAAUUUAAGAAAACACAAGAAAUACAGGCAAAUUGUGAGAUCUGUAUGUUUUUCUUCAGUUUGUUCUAUUUAAAUCGCACACCAUUAAAUGUGGUUAAGAGAAUAACUUAAAGUUGCAAAGCAAUGCGAACAAACAUUGAUAAUGGAAUCUUAAUUCAGCUCCCUCGUGCAUGUGGAUACACUCUUCAAUUGGUUUAACACUGUCUUUUUUCUCUUUCAGAAAAUCUUGACACAUUCAGCACCCUAAAGAAAUAGGGUUUUGUCAAUAAUUUGAUUUCCCUGCACUUCUCAGUGACUCUGCCUUGCACUUUUUUAUACUGUGCACUCAUCUUCCUCUGCAUUACAUGGAGAAUGGUCCAUUUCUUUUCAGAAAAACCAUUCAAGUGUUUUCCAAGUUUUUUUGUUUCAUUUAGUUUUUUUACUCCACUCCUGAGGUAGGGCUGGUAUGUUGGUUUUCUGUUUCCCAGGUAAGACAUAUACAUUAAAACCCAAAAGUGUUGGUGACUUCUUAGUACCUGAUUUUUCACAAUUAGGAGCUCUACACUUUCAGAAGAGCUUGCAUGAUACCUUGAAGGAAUGGCUGUUACUCACCUUAUAUUAAAUUUGUGCUCCCAGCUGUUGGUUUUUAUGUACUCCUAGAGUGUGACUAGGAGAAUAUUAUGUUUUUCUUGGACUCAUUCUCAUAAGUGACUAAAUCUUUUUGUAUGAAAUUAUGCAGAGAGGCAGAGAAUCAACAUGGAGAAGUCCAUCUCAACAACAAAAUUUUG